AUGACCAAAAGCUAUUUGGAAGUUGUCAAGAGAGCUCCUUUGGAGAAGUGUGGAAACCUACUUCUACCUCAAUUUGAAGCUGCUAUUUCCAAAAGUGCUGGCCAUGGAGUUGGUUUUUCUGAGACAAAAAUCUCUUGCCCAGCUCCCAAACCUCAGGUCCAUAGAUCUGAAAAAGGGAAAUGGGGGCCUGUUGUUAGGAUGAGCAACAUGAUUAAAAGGGAUGAGAAGAACUCUAUUGUGAAAGCCCAAGAACUCAAGCAAAUUCAGAAUUUGGAGGUGAUCUGGAUGACAUAUAGAAGGAGGAAAUUAAGGUCAGACAGAGAUCCAGGGAGAAGGAGAUCUUGGAAGGUGAACUGA
rnacentral:rRNA from 1 species